rnacentral:lncRNA from 1 species
AAGGAUGUUUGCUAAUGUGGUUGGGUGGCUUUCUGUUUUUGGAAGGAGGAAGGUUUAUUCAGUCCAUCCUCCUGCCUCUCCCUGCACAAAAAAUGGUUCAUCCUUCAUUGGUAUGUUUGCAGCUAUGGAGGAGGUGAACGCAGAGACAACUGCGGGCUAGCUGCAGCUUCUGUUUGAGCAGAGGCGAUCGUUCCUUGCCGGAAUCGUAUUUCAGGUGAACCUCUCUGAAUUUUUCCACAUGUUUACAAGUAUCAGCCUGUGGUAUGCAGCUGCUCUGUUAGUUGUCUCUAUUAUUCUGAUGCCUCACCCCUUUUUUUGUUGCAAUUUUUUAGCUCUGCAUUGUAUAAUUGCUGCUAAUUCAAGUAUUGGAUUUUGUGCUUUACGGGAAACCACUUGAUCUGACCCCAAAACAGGAGAAAAUUAUGUAUAACAAGGCCAAUGAAAUCAAUGGUGGCCCCUGUUUCUAUCCCUAUUUCUCUGUCUGAAGCUGUUCUUUUAUUCAAUACAUAAGCAUCGACAGCUUACUAUUCCUAAAUUAGCUUCUAUGCAAUUUUAUUCAGAGUUUGUGAUCUGGAUGGAUCUGGAUGUUUGUGAUUUUUAUGAUCCAUUAUUACACUUCAUUUGAUGUUGAAUGCAUCUGAGGUUCCAUGCAAUAGAUUAAAACCUGAAUUUCUCAUCCACUGACAAUUUGGUAGAUGUUGAAUGGAUCUGGAUGAAGAGUUUGUGAUCUGGAGGGAUCUUGCUGUUUAUUUAGAUUAAAACUGAAGGGUAUACUUCAUUUGAAAUCUUACAUGCUAACAAUUCAG